UGCCCUGAUGAUGGAUUAAAACUGUUCUAAGAUGCUCCAUGCGGAAAACUUUUGGAGACCUGAACUGAAGGGAC